UUAGAAUGUAAGCAUUUAUUGAUUUCAUGCAUACAUUGUCACCUCUAUGCACCUACAGGAGUGAGAGAAAGGAGUGGGCACCUGUUCUUUGACCAGUCCUCAGGUCACAGUGAGUGCUCUGGCUGACUCUCUAAUCUGGCUGAAAGCGGGCCACAUGGCUCUGGAUCUUGUGAGGAGAUCCCUCUCUGUGACUGCUCAUUCUUUUCAGCCAGCAUCUAAGCCGCCCAGGAAUGCUGAACUUUCAGACUCUGAGUGAGAUAGGCAUGUGUGUAGAGUUAGCCGUUCUGUUUUUGAUUGUGAGUCCAUGUCAGAGUUGUUUAUUUUUAUGUCUGUAUGAUGUUAAUGGCCCAUUCAUUACAACUGUUUGCAGUAUUCUUAGAUUAAAGCUGGCUGUAUAGAACGUAGGGCUAGAACAACACAGAAUACAGGUCCGAUUUUGCAGUGUACUUCUCUCAUAAUGUACAUAGAAAUAAAUACUUCUAGCUGUG